rnacentral:rRNA from 1 species
ACCCCCUACGGGACGCAGCAGUGGGGGAUAUUGCACAAUGGGGGGAACCCUGAUGCAGCGACGCCGCGUGAACGAAGAAAUAUUUCGGUAUGUAAAGUUCUAUCAGCAGGGAAGAAAAUGACAGUACCUGACCAAGAAGCCCCGGCUAACUACGUGCCAGCAGCCGCGGUAAUACGUAGGGGGCAAGCGUUAUCCGGAUUUACUGGGUGUAAAGGGAGCGUAGACGGCAGGGCAAGUCUGGAGUGAAAGCCCGGGGCCCAACCCCGGGACUGCUUUGGAAACUGCCAUGCUAGAGUGCUGGAGAG